UACCAAGCGUGCCAAGUAUUUAUUAACGAGCAGAUUGUAUACUGUCGUUGUUUGAUGUGUUCUUCAGAAACGAUUCCACUUUAAUGGUUAAGUGGUUUGGCUACGAUGGAACUUUCGAAACAUACCCAGAAGGAUUUAAGUCGGAAGAGCACUGCCUUAACAUCAAAUUUUUUGGUGUUAAUGUUCUUUGAACAGCGGUUAGAUAUUAUGAGUGAAUUUUGUGUGAUAUGAAAUAAACAUGAGUAUCUUGUCAAAUGUAGGAAAAAAGUUCUGAAUUUGGUGAAAAGUAAGAAGUAAACUGCUGCUCAAAUGUACGCAAUUUUCGACAUUAAAAAUUCUUUAAGCAGCCCUUACACGCGACAAUAUUAUUGUCAAUCCAAAGUAUUGUCAAUUCGCGACUACGAAGUUGAGUUUGACAGCAUAUGUGUGUGAAGCUGAUGUAAACAAGCGAAUGCAAAAUAAGUGAUUAUUUUCAAAUGUACCGUUUCAUAUUAAUUUGACUUUGCUGUAUUAAAUUGAACUGUUGAUUCGAGAAAAUGAUUCGUGUAGUGUGAACUGGUGGACUUAUCGGAUGUAUCAAGUUUCGAUGCCGGAGGAUGCAGUUUGAUAAUCGAAGGAGAAAGAGUGUUCAGGACUGGACAUUUGAGAUACAGGAUGAUGGGUUCAACGUAUUUUCUAUUCACUAACAGCUAUCCUCUUCAUACUACGAAAAACAAUAAAAAUUCGCACUUCAAAAUUUAUUUUAAUAAAACUGUAAUAUUUUAUUAAAAACGA